rnacentral:rRNA from 1 species
AUGCCAAAGGGGCAGAGAAUAGUUGUGAAAUGCAAUGAAGAUAGCCAGCCUAUAGGAGAUGAAGGUGCAAUCUUGGAGAAGUUUCUGGGCACGAUUGCUAGAAAUGGAGGAUUUUGCCCACUAAACAUAAAUGAUUGGCGUCAUGUCAAAAAGAAUAGUGGUGAGGAAACAAUAUUGCAGUGCGUACAGACAAAGUUCGUGUAUCCUCGAUCAUGUGAAAAAUGGAUACUCAAAUCAAUUGGAAGAGACUGGAGGAAAUUUAAGUCUAGUUUGAAAGAUGCUUUCUUCAAACCCGCCAUUGAAAAAAAUCCAAACAUCAAGCGAAAGGCUUUGUAUAAGCUCUGUCCAGAAGAUGUGGACAACGAUCAAUGGCGUGGGCUUGUUAAAUAUUGGAAGUCCAAAAAAGGAAGGGCCCUUGCUGAGAAGAACAUAAUUAGUCGUUCCCUCAUGAAGGAUUCACAUAAUGCUGGCACAAAGAGUUAUGCUUGUUGGGGUGAAGACAUGAGGCAAGCUGAUCCUGAAAAGAAACGACCACACAGAUCAAAGGUUUAUUUAGCAACUCACAAGAAGAAGGAUGAUGCUGAUGCUAAAAAUAAAGAUAGAAAUAAGCGCCUGGAUCGAUUGGAGAAUCUAAUAACCGAACGACCAGAGUUGGCACAAAAUUUGAAUGGAAGAGUCGCAUGGGAAGGUGAUGCCCUGCAGGAAGUGUUAGGGAAAGAAAAGAUUGGACAAGUGCGUGGGUUUGCUUCCAACUCCUAG